rnacentral:rRNA from 1 species
AGUGGGGAAUCUUAGACAAUGGGCGCAAGCCUGAUCUAGCCAUGCCGCGUGUGUGAUGAAGGUCUUAGGAUCGUAAAGCACUUUCGCCAGGGAUGAUAAUGACAGUACCUGGUAAAGAAACCCCGGCUAACUCCGUGCCAGCAGCCGCGGUAAUACGGAGGGGGUUAGCGUUGUUCGGAAUUACUGGGCGUAAAGCGUACGUAGGCGGAUUGGAAAGUUGGGGGUGAAAUCCCAGGGCUCAACCCUGGAACUGCCUCCAAAACUAUCAGUCUAGAGUUCGAGAGAGGUGAGUGGAAUUCCAAGUGUAGAGGUGAAAUUCGUAGAUAUUUGGAGGAACACCAGUGGCGAAGGCGGCUCACUGGCUCGAUACUGACGCUGAGGUACGAAAGUGUGGGGAGCAAACAGGAUUAGAUACCCUGGUAGUCCACACCGUAAACGAUGAAUGCCAGUCGUCGGGCAGUAUACUGUUCGGUGACACACCUAACGGAUUAAGCAUUCCGCCUGGGGAGUACGGUCGCAAGAUUAAACU